UAGGGAAUCUUCGGCAAUGGGGGCAACCCUGACCGAGCAACGCCGCGUGAGUGAAGAAGGUUUUCGGAUCGUAAAGCUCUGUUGUAAGUCAAGAACGGGUGUGAGAGUGGAAAGUUCACACUGUGACGGUAGCUUACCAGAAAGGGACGGCUAACUACGUGCCAGCAGCCGCGGUAAUACGUAGGUCCCGAGCGUUGUCCGGAUUUAUUGGGCGUAAAGCGAGCGCAGGCGGUUUGAUAAGUCUGAAGUUAAAGGCUGUGGCUCAACCAUAGUUCGCUUUGGAAACUGACAAACUUGAGUGCAGAAGGGGAGAGUGGAAUUCCAUGUGUAGCGGUGAAAUGCGUAGAUAUAUGGAGGAACACCGGUGGCGAAAGCGGCUCUCUGGUCUGUAACUGACGCUGAGGCUCGAAAGCGUGGGGAGCGAACAGG
rnacentral:rRNA from 1 species